CAGCAGCCGCGGUAAUACCGGCGGCCCGAGUGGCGGUCACUAUUAUUGGGCUUAAAGCGUCCGGAGCCGGGUUGGGAAGUCCUCCGGGAAAUCUGGCCGCUUAACGGUCAGAAUGCCGGAGGAUACUCCCAGCCUAGGGAGCGGGAGAGGCCGAGGGGAUUCCCGGAGUAGGGGUGAAAUCCUAUAAUCCCGGGAGGACCACCUGUGGCGAAGGCGCUCGGCUGGAACGCGUCCGACGGUGAGGGACGAAGGCCAGGGGAGCAAACCGGAUUAGAUACCCGGGUAGUCCUGGCUGUAAACGAUGCGGACUUUGUGUCGGACAAGCUAUGAGCUUGUCCGGUGCCGGAGGGAAACCGUUAAGUCCGCCGCCUGGGGAGUACGGCCGCAAGGCUGAAACUUAAAAGAAUUGGCGGG
rnacentral:rRNA from 1 species